CGAGCAAGGAUGAAAAUCGGACUUAGUGAUCCGGUGGUUCUGCGUGGAAGGGCCAUCGCUCAACGGAUAAAAGCUACCCUGGGGAUAACAGGCUUAUCUCCCCCAAGAGUCCACAUCGACGGGGAGGUUUGGCACCUCGAUGUCGGCUCAUCCCAUCCUGGGGCUGUAGUAGGUCCCAAGGGUUGGGCUGUUCCCCCAUUAAAGUGGUACGCGAGCUGGGUUCAGAACGUCGUGAGACAGUUCGGUCCCUAUCCGUCGCCGGCGUAGGAAGUUUGAGAAGACCUGUCCUUAGUACGCGAGGACCGGGAUGGACGUACCUCUGGUGUACCAGUUGU
rnacentral:rRNA from 1 species